rnacentral:rRNA from 1 species
GGCGGACGGGUGAGUAAUGCCUAGGAAUCUGCCUGGUAGUGGGGGACAACGUUUCGAAAGGAACGCUAAUACCGCAUACGUCCUACGGGAGAAAGCAGGGGACCUUCGGGCCUUGCGCUAUCAGAUGAGCCUAGGUCGGAUUAGCUAGUUGGUGGGGUAAAGGCCUACCAAGGCGACGAUCCGUAACUGGUCUGAGAGGAUGAUCAGUCACACUGGAACUGAGACACGGUCCAGACUCCUACGGGAGGCAGCAGUGGGGAAUAUUGGACAAUGGGCGAAAGCCUGAUCCAGCCAUGCCGCGUGUGUGAAGAAGGUCUUCGGAUUGUAAAGCACUUUAAGUUGGGAGGAAGGGCAGUAAGUUAAUACCUUGCUGUUUUGACGUUACCAACAGAAUAAGCACCGGCUAACUUCGUGCCAGCAGCCGCGGUAAUACGAAGGGUGCAAGCGUUAAUCGGAAUUACUGGGCGUAAAGCGCGCGUAGGUGGUUUGG